UGAACGCUGGCGGCAUGGCUAAAGCAUGCAAGUCGAACGCGAACGUGACUUCGGUCACUAUUAGAGUGGCGAACGGGCGAGGAAUCCGUUUCUAACGUGCCCCAAGGCCGAGGAUAGCCCGGAGAAAUCCGGGGUAAUACUCGAUGACCCCAUCGGAUCGCAUGUUCUGAUGGGCAAAGGCUUGCCACCUUGGGAUCGGGAAACGCCCUAUCAGGUUGUUGGUGAGGUAACGGCUCACCAAGCCUAAGACGGGUAGCGGGUGUGAGAGCAUGACCCGCCGCAUCGGGACUGAGACACUGCCCGGACUCCUACGGGAGGCUGCAGCAACGAAUCUUCCGCAAUGCGCGAAAGCGUGACGGAGCAAUGCCGCGUGCAGGAUGAAGCCCCUCGGGGUGUAAACUGCUGUCAGGGCUUAGGAAAUUUGACCAAACCCAAAGGAAGGGCCGGCUAACUUCGUGCCAGCAGCCGCGGUAAUACGAAGGGCCCGAGCGUUAAUCAGAAUCACUGGGCUUAAAGCGUGCGCAGGCGGAAACGUCAGUGUCUUGUGAAAUCCCACGGCUCAACCGUGGAAUUGCAGGGCAUACUGCGUUUCUUGAGGUCGGUAGAGGUCGCCGGAACUCUAGGUGUAGCGGUGAAAUGCGUAGAUAUCUAGAGGAACGCCGAAGGUGAAGACAGGCGACUGGGCCGAUUCUGACGCUCAGGCACGAAAGCGUGGGGAGCAAACAGGAUUAGAUACCCUGGUAGUCCACGCCGUAAACGUUGUGCACUAGAUCCUGGAGGUACUGACACCGUCGGGGUCGAAGAUAACUUGCUAAGUGCACCGCCUGGGGAGUACGGUCGCAAGGCUAAAACUCAAAGGAAUUGACGGGGGCUCACACAAGCGGUGGAGCAUGUGGCUUAAUUCGAGGCAACGCGAAGAACCUUACCUGGGUUUGACAUGCUUGGAUUAGCCUGUCGAAAGACAGGUGACGCUAAUUCUAGUGGAACUUGCACAGGUGCUGCAUGGCUGUCGUCAGCUCGUGCUGUGAAGUGUCGG
rnacentral:rRNA from 1 species